rnacentral:rRNA from 1 species
CAGUAGCCGCGGGAAUACGGAGGGUGCAAGCGUUAAUCGGAAUUACUGGGCGUAAAGCGCACGCAGGCGGUCUGACAAGUCAGAUGUGAAAUCCCCGGGCUUAACCUGGGAACUGCAUUUGAAACUGUCAGGCUGGAGUCUUGUAGAGGGGGGUAGAAUUCCAGGUGUAGCGGUGAAAUGCGUAGAGAUCUGGAGGAAUACCGGUGGCGAAGGCGGCCCCCUGGACAAAGACUGACGCUCAGGUGCGAAAGCGUGGGGAGCAAACAGGAUUAGAUACCCCCGUAGUCCUUGUCUCUUAUAC